rnacentral:rRNA from 1 species
UGGCGAACGGGUGAGUAACACGUGGGUAACCUGCCCAUCAGAAGGGGAUAACACUUGGAAACAGGUGCUAAUACCGUAUAACACUAUUUUCCGCAUGGAAGAAAGUUGAAAGGCGCUUUUGCGUCACUGAUGGAUGGACCCGCGGUGCAUUAGCUAGUUGGUGAGGUAACGGCUCACCAAGGCAACGAUGCAUAGCCGACCUGAGAGGGUGAUCGGCCACACUGGGACUGAGACACGGCCCAGACUCCUACGGGAGGCAGCAGUAGGGAAUCUUCGGCAAUGGACGAAAGUCUGACCGAGCAACGCCGCGUGAGUGAAGAAGGUUUUCGGAUCGUAAAACUCUGUUGUUAGAGAAGAACAAGGAUGAGAGUAAAACGUUCAUCCCUUGA